UUUCCGUAGGUGAACCUGCGGAAGGAUCAUUACCGAGUUGAUUCGGGCUCCGGCCCGAUCCUCCCACCCUUUGUGUACCUACCUCUGUUGCUUUGGCGGGCCGCGGUCCUCCGCGGCCGCCCCCCUCCCCGGGGGGGUGGCCAGCGCCCGCCAGAGGACCAUCAAACUCCAGUCAGUAAACGAUGCAGUCUGAAAAACAUUUAAUAAACUAAAACUUUCAACAACGGAUCUCUUGGUUCUG
rnacentral:misc_RNA from 1 species